rnacentral:ncRNA from 1 species
GCUGAAGCAUCUAAGCGGGAAGCCGGCCUCAAGAUGAGACUUCCAUACCCUUCGGGGUGAGAGGCUCCCAGCCAGACUACUGGGUUGAUAGGCCGGAUGUGGAAGCGUAGUAAUACGUGAAGCUGACCGGUACUAAUAAGCCGAUGACUUGAUAAC